GUGGGGAAUUUUGGACAAUGGGCGCAAGCCUGAUCCAGCAAUGCCGCGUGCAGGAAGAAGGCCUCCGGGUUGUAAACUGCUUUUGUACGGAACGAAACGGUCCUGGCUAAUAUCCGGGGCUAAUGACGGUACCGUAAGAAUAAGCACCGGCUAACUACGUGCCAGCAGCCGCGGUAAUACGUAGGGUGCAAGCGUUAAUCGGAAUUACUGGGCGUAAAGCGUGCGCAGGCGGUUUUGUAAGACAGGCGUGAAAUCCCCGGGCUCAACCUGGGAAUUGCGCUUGUGACUGCAAGGCUGGAGUGCGGCAGAGGGGGAUGGAAUUCCGCGUGUAGCAGUGAAAUGCGUAGAUAUGCGGAGGAACACCGAUGGCGAAGGCAAUCCCCUGGGCCUGCACUGACGCUCAUGCACGAAAGCGUGGGGAGCAAACAGGAUUAGAUACCCGGGUAGUCC
rnacentral:rRNA from 1 species